AGCGAACGCUGGCGGCAGGCCUAACACAUGCAAGUCGAACGAACCUUUCGGGGUUAGUGGCGGACGGGUGCGUAACACGUGGGAACGUGCCUUUAGGUUCGGAAUAACUCAGGGAAACUUGUGCUAAUACCGAAUGCGCCCUUCGGGGGAAAGAUUAAUCGCCUUUAGAGCGGCCCGCGUCUGAUUAGCUAGUUGGUUGAGGUAAUGGCUAACCAAGGCGACGAUCAGUAGCUGGUCUGAGAGGAUGAUCAGCCACAUUGGGACUGAGACACGGCCCAAACUCCUACGGGAGGCAGCAGUGGGGAAUCUUGCGCAAUGGGCGAAAGCCUGACGCAGCCAUGCCGCGUGAAUGAUGAAGGUCUUAGGAUUGUAAAAUUCUUUCACCGGGGACGAUAAUGACGGUACCCGGAGAAGAAGCCCCGGCUAACUUCGUG
rnacentral:rRNA from 1 species